CCUCCGUCCCAAAAUAAGUGCAGCCAUGAGUUUUCGCGCUCAACUUUGAUCAUCCGUCUUAUUUAAAAUUUUUUUAUAAUUAGCAAUUUUGUUGUUAUAAGAUAAUAAAACAUGAAUAGUACUUUACUCGUGACUUAUGUUUUUAAUUUUUUUUAAAAUUUUUCAAAUAAGACGAAUAAUUAAAGUUGGACACUGAAAACCAUGGCUGCACUUAUUUUGAAACGGAGGGA
rnacentral:pre_miRNA from 1 species